UCUUGGAAUAAGUUUCACUAUCUCUGGAAUGUUUGGAAUAAGCUUCAAAUUUUACUCAGAAGCUUAGGAAUCAACUCGAGACUCUAUCGCCAUAGUCAGGAAGUGUGUAGAUAGCGAGAUAUUAUAAGAGAGCUUCAGGUAGUGGAUUAAGUUUUAUAUUAAUAUACGUGCCAUCAUCAUCGUCAUCUGUAUCUGACAUAACAAAAUUACUACCAAAAGAUUCAUCAUCAGAGGAGGAGAAGAGGCCGCCAUUAUUAGGAGAGUUGAAGUCAAAGGAACUGAAUGAGAAACUCCUUCUUUAGUCCAGCUCUGUGCUUUUAAUCUGCAUACUGGCUGGACGCCCAAACAGGUUGGUAUGCCUAAAGCCUCUUUCCAGGGAUCUAAUGUCUGUAAGGUUGAACCAUAGAGAUUUGAUGCUGUUAAUUGUCCCCUAACUCUAGUAGCACUGAUAUGGACUUUCUUGUUAUUAUUCACUAUGAUAAUAUGUAUUUUCUUAAUCUCAUAUUUCUUAUCGAGUUUAUUAUAUUUUUCAUGGAAUUAUGUGUUGCUCCAGUUAACUGUUGCACAAAUGCAAAUUUGGCUUGUAGCCAUUACUGCUCUUUUUAUUUCUUUAUUUUUAAUCUAGGGUUGCUUGCCAUGGUACCACUUGACAGCAACUUGUUCUCCUUAGCUAAAAGAGAGGAUUGACUAUUUUUUUAAAUAGAAAAUGAGUCAAGUGUUUUUUAACUGCUUUCAAUUAGGCUUCAUGUCAAGCAUUCAAUUUGGAGAGUAGUCAAUUAACACAUUGGACAUAGUGACAUAAGAGUAAUCCAAAAGUUUGAUUAGUAUAAUUUAUUCUCCUAAUGUUGUGGUUGUAGGUAUCAGAUUAUAACCUUGUUGCCAGCUAAAGAAAAUGUAUUGUUGUUGGCUGACUUUACUCUACUCCGUACCUCUCUCGCCAUAUCACAGUAAAUAUUCGCUGCAUUCGUGUUUACCAAACAUUUUAACCUUAGCAAUUAAAAAUCAAAGUGAAAAUACAUAACACUUAGUCAUGAUUAUUAGGUAAUAAAUGUGUUAAAUAUACAUCUCUUCGUUGGUUGGAUUGAUGUAAACCUCGAACGUGAGUAAGUUUUUAACGUCACAUCACCUCUGGCCCCCUGCCCCCUUCCAGAUAUUUGAAAGGGUUUAACACAUAAAAAUCCCCUUAAACUAUUUACGGUUUGCAACUUUCAUACUUGGAGGAAAAAAAUGUAUGGUCUUCUUAGCGCUAGUGAAGUGUAUCUUGACAAGUAUUAGCUAACGUUCCUUUUGUCUUUUCAAAUGCUUUGGUUAUUUGAGUAACUAAUUUAGUGACUCACAUGAGUUUUUCCAAUAUGCUGAUCAACGAUGGAUGCAACUUAUUAACUCAUUCAUUAAUAUGUUAACAACCAAAUUAGCUUACAUUUGUAAUGUUCGAUAACAAAACCCACUGAUAUUAGAAUAACUGAUUGACUAUUCUGGUGGUUUUUAGAAACAGGAAUGUCAGUAAUGAGUAGAUAAUAAAAAUGGGAGACGUUGCGUACAUGGAUUUGGAUAGCAUUUAGUUAAUUAAUUUAUCUAUCUUUUCCAGAUUCUGAUGGACUGUAUGGAUGCUGAAUCAAUUGGAAGUUACCCAUUUCUUUUCAGUAUCUAUACAGGGGAAAGAAAUAAGGGAACAAGGUAUUACAUGACUCACAAGAAUUUUGUGGCCUAGGCGUUACUGAUCACUGUACAGAUUAAAGUGCUGAAGUCUGAAGAACAAAUGCCGAGCAAGUAGAAGCGAUUGAAAAUGCUAAAGAACAAGUUAAAACACUAGAGGACCUUAUUUUCUAUUUUGUUUGGAGUUGUUAAAGAUGUUUGUGUUUGUAAUGCUACAAUUCUAUCUUCUGUUUUGUUAGGUGUUGACUUACAUAUUGUCAUACAAUUGGGAUUGGUAUAUUUUUGCGUUU